rnacentral:rRNA from 1 species
UACGUAGGGUCCGAGCGUUGUCCGGAAUUAUUGGGCGUAAAGAGCUCGUAGGCGGCUCAGUAAGUCGGGUGUGAAAACUCCAGGCUCAACCUGGAGACGCCACCCGAUACUGCUGUGGCUAGAGUCCGGUGAGGGGAGCAUGGAAUUCCUGGUGUGAGCGGUGAAAUGCGCAGAUAUCAGGAGGAACACCAGUGGCGAAGGCGACUUUCUGGCCUGUUCUUGACGCUGGAGGCGCGAAAGCUAGGGGAGCAAACGGG